UUUUUUUUUAACGCUAUCAGGGGGAGUUUAGUUGGUAAUUAUUUCGUUUGCAUCAGUGGAGCUGCGUCAUAUAUUUGAAGCAGUAUUGCCCAUGUUGUAAAAUCUUCAUUUAUUUGUGUUUCCUAUCUCUGAAAACACACCAAAAAAAGGUUAUAGAUGAUGCUAAACAGGGAAGAUGGGGCACAAAAUCUAUCAACUUUGUUCUGUGCAAAAAUAUACUCCAAAAUAUUGUGAUUAUUCAUUAUUUAUGUUAGUCUGGAGGAAAAAAAACAUCCAAAUCCACAUUUUUCUACUUUUAGCAAAAUCAUUGAUGACUAGCUUAAUGAAUUUUAUCAAUUUGUUUAGAAAAUAUAAUUCUGUUUUCUAUAGUUUUGUUCAAUACUUGAUACUGAUUGGUUGAUGAUGCCAUUCUAUGAUGUGAUAUUUCUCUAUUUCUCUUCUCCAAACUGUAAAAUCUAAUGAAGCUAAUGGUUUCAUGAACGUCACUAGUCCUGCUUUCCCAUUUAUUUAUCAUUACAGUUAUGGAUGUUAGUGGUAAUUAUUCAUAGGUAUUGUUUUUAUUGCAUUAUUUCUACAUUUUGAGGGUGGAGAAAGAGCCAUAAAAACCCAAUGUCAUUGCAUUUUAUUGUACUUGUGCCCCAAAUGCAAACAAAUAAAUGCAAAUGUGACUAUUUUCUAAAGUUAGCGUUCGCAAUAUAAUCAGUUUAGCUGUUAAAUGCUAUCUUUUCCCAAAUGAUUGUUUCUUUAGUAAACAGCCAUGUAAUAAUCAGGAUCAUGUACAAUGGGAUGUGAUGCAGGACUUCAAUCACCUGUUGUAAAUUAUUUCCUAGGUGUUUUCAUUGGAACCAAGCAGCCAUAUUAGGUUAUAGAACCAACCUAAUCGACAUGUUCAGGAGUUUUUCCUUCCUAAUUUCCUU